rnacentral:rRNA from 1 species
UACAGAGGGUGCAAGCGUUGCUCGGAAUUAUUGGGCGUAAAGGGUAGGUAGGUGGUCUCAUUUGUCUGAGGUGAAAGCCUUGAGCUCAACUCAAGAAGUGCCUCAGAAACGGUGGGACUCGAGUCCUGGAGAGGGUCGUGGAAUUCCCGGUGUAGCGGUGAAAUGCGUAGAGAUCGGGAGGAACACCAGAGGCGAAGGCGGCGACCUGGACAGGUACUGACACUAAACUACGAAAGCGUGGGGAGCAAACAGG